CUGCUGGCAGCACUAUGGACAGCUAUUUUGGCUAUGUGACAGACAGUUGCAGAGGGGGAACGGUCUGGGCUGAGCCCAGACAGUCUCCCUCAGAAGAAGACCGAUCACCGGCAGGGGAACAGCGGCAAUCGGUAAGUAGGGAAGGAGAUGGAGGGGUUAAUUUUUUAAAGUUUAACUUUAAUUUUUUUUUUUUUUUUUAACAUUUACUGAGUGCCUCAACACCUCAAGGCACUCAGUACAGGCAGAGCAUCGGACACCUGCCUGAAGGCUUUCAAUGCUCUGCACUACACUACCAGGCGCCACGUGCGGCAACCCAGAAGUGAUCACUCGGGUGCCCGGCAGUGAGGGGGGGGGGAGGAGGAGUAUUCCACGAUGCCUCAACAUCGAGUGAUACCCUUAGAGCGGCUGGAAGCGAUCACGAUUGCUUCCAGCACUCAUUUUGGCCGUGGACGUCCAGGGUACAUCAGCGGUCGUUAACGACUGUUACUAAGGGGUUAAUAGCCAGCAUAG